CCUUGGGAAGCAGGACUUUGUAAAGGUUUCUUCAGGAUGGGGCUAGUGAAGCCCUAGAAUGCUGUGAGUAGAUCCUGAUGUAUUGCAGUUCUGGCUAUAGCUCAGAAGACCAGAAUAAUGAGAGGAAGAAAGGCUCAUGGGGUUUCAGAUGGUCACACUUUUGGGACUUGGACUAGGGACCAUGCAUAUUAUCUUCUGGCAAAGAACUUACUUUUAUUUUGUCUGUAUCCUAAGUCUUUGUAUGAGGCUAAAUUAACAGGGAGUGGACAAAUGGAUUUGAUGGAGGAAAUUUCAGUCCAUUCUGACAUUCAAGGUGUGGCCUGUGCAUUACUGCCUGCUUUUAGGCAAAUUCAUAGCAAAAAUCAGGAGCAAAAAGGAGAGCACAAAGAUUUGUAGAAAUUGAACUUUGAUCAGAAAGUAAGCACAUUUAAAGUUGAGGCAAAAGAGGUAUGAUUCCUGAAGAGAUUAGCACCAUUAAGGGCUGGGGAUUUAGCUCAGUGGUUCCGCUGCUGCGCAAACCUGCAAUCCCAGCACUCAGGAGAGGGGCAGGCCAGCCUCGGCUGUAUGGGAAGAUCCUGUCUCAGAAAAAGUUUACAUGAUAGGUACAUCUGUGAGUACAGAUCAGAGAAGUUAGAGAUUAGCACCAUUAAAAAGAUACCAAAUACUUUGAACCAGGACAAGAAGAAAGAUGCCUAGAGAGAAUCUCAGGAAUCAGCAAGACCCUACCCAUUUCAAGCUCAAAAGUGCAAAAAAGCAAACUUUUCAUUUGAGAAGAGACCCUCUAGGGCCCCUGCUCAAGAAGGGCUGCCUGGGAUAUUGGUUCUCCAGGAUUUAUUUCAUCAUGCUCAAUCAUCAGAUACUCAGAGGCUGCCUCAACCAUGGUCCAAAGGGACCUGAUUACUAUUUGAGCUGACAGUAGUCCUUGUCAUCAACCACAUGAUGCUCUUUUUUUCAGGCAUGCAGAAUGCAAGUGGCAUCAUGGAAGCUUUCACCCAGAUUUCAAAGGAAGGCCUGUGAGGCCGGGCAAUGUGCAUCUGAGAGGGCAGUGCAUGAAGCUGUGGGAAUGAAGCUGAAGAGUCCUAGAGGAUCCAGUGUACAGGAACAUUUCUAUUUCAGUAUAUCAGCUUUGGCUUAUGCCACCAAGGAGGUAAUUUAAAAUCACACAUUUGCAUGUGGUACAGGCCUGAAGAUUCAGCUCUUGAGAAGUGACUUCAUUAUCAUCCAUGGUCUCUGAAAGAUGCAAAUUCCUCAUUUUCAUGCUAUCCCAGGAAUUGUUACUUUCUUAAUUCUCUUUGAUGUGAAUAAAGGAAUAUUUUUCUUCCUUUUUCCUCA